GAUGAACGCUGGCGGCGUGCUUAACACAUGCAAGUCGAACGAUGAAGCCCAGCUUGCUGGGUGGAUUAGUGGCGAACGGGUGAGUAACACGUGUGCAACCUGCCCCUGACUCUGGGAUAAGCGCUGGAAACGGCGUCUAAUACUGGAUAUGUCCCGUCACCGCAUGGUGUGCGGGUGGACAGAUUUUUCGGUUGGGGAUGGGCUCGCGGCCUAUCAGCUUGUUGGUGUGGUAAUGGCUCACCAAGGCGUCGACGGGUAGCCGGCCGGAGAGGGUGACCGGCCACACUGGGACUGAGACACGGCCCAGACUCCUACGGGAGGCAGCAGGGGGGAAUAUUGCACAAUGGGCGGAAGCCUGAUGCAGCAACGCCGCGUGAGGGAUGACGGCCUUCGGGUUGUAACCCUCUUUUAGCAGGGAAGAAGCGAAAGUGACGGUACCUGCAGAAAAAGCACCGGCUAACUACGUG
rnacentral:rRNA from 1 species